GACGUUAAUCGACGACAGACCGAUAUAUAAAAGUCGAUAAAACGUCAGAAUAAUUCGGACUAAUAAUACACAUGCUAUUUUAUUUCAGGUUUGACGUAUGAUAUAUGGUAACACGAUGCUUGUUAUAUGGCCAGACAUUUCAUACACGUCCUUUAUGAUAAAAUACAUAAUCUAUAUGACAAUUUUGCUUAUAAUGUAAUUUUGAUAACUAUACUACUUUGUUGUUUUUUGUGACGUUUCUGUCAUGUUUCGUGGUGUCUGUUGAUUUUUCUUUAACGUAAAGUAUUGUGUCGUCUAUUAAAUAAACAUGUGUUUGUCAUGUUGCUGAAAGUGUGUGUUAGAGUGAACAAAUGAGUGGUUUUAUUGGGUUUAGAUGGGCGGGGUGUUGUAUUGUUUUCUAAGAUUAGGAGGACGGUUUGGAUAAAUAUCAGUGAGCGACUUCAACACCAACAUAACCAACUUUUACAAACGAUGUCGAUGUUAUUUCAACGGCUGUUUUCUGAUAUACUGUUUAUGGUAACGUGACAUGCAGACCUUAAUGAUACUGGUCAAACCGACACUGGAUGGAUCAGCUAUUUCUUGUUAACAAGGUGUUUCUCCAACAUGUAUCUGUUGACGGGCUACUCAAGGAAACCCAAGUAUGUGGAUAUAAAGUUAAAAAAGUGUGAUGAUAACAGUUAUGUGAUCUAGGCAGUAAACCCUUCCGAAUAACCAAAGAUGUAACACUGCCAGUGAUCUUGGCAUGAAAAGCGGACUUUUUCAAUUACUAAAUGUAUUAAUUGUUGGUAUAAACAGCACAAGGAUGUCUGUUUCAUCAACAUUAAAAAGGGAACAGAAAUAUGACAAUUGUAUGUAAAAUUUAGA